AUACGGAGGAUCCGAGCGUUAUCCGGAUUUAUUGGGUUUAAAGGGUGCGCAGGCGGCCAUUUAAGUCAGCGGUUAAAUCGUGGGGCUCAACCCCAUUCUGCCGUUGAUACUGGGUGGCUUGAUUGCGGUCGAGGUUGGCGGAAUUCGUUGUGUAGCGGUGAAAUGCAUAGAUAUGACGAAGAACACCGAUUGCGUAGGCAGCUGACCAGACCGCAAAUGACGCUCAUGCACGAAAGUGCGGGGAUCGAACAGGAUUAGAUACCCUGGUAGGCCGCACAGUAAACGAUGAAUACUUGUUUUCGGCGAUAGAAUGUCGGAGGCAAAGCGAAAGCGAUAAGUAUUCCACCUGGGGAGUACGCCGGCAACGGUGAAACUCAAAGGAAUUGACGGGG
rnacentral:rRNA from 1 species